rnacentral:tRNA from 1 species
GCCCCGGUGGCCGAGAGGAUUAGGCGCGGGCCUUCUAAUCCCGUUUACGCAGGUUCGAAUCCUGCCCGGGGUG